rnacentral:rRNA from 1 species
CCUACGGGUGGCAGCAGUGAGGAAUAUUGGUCAAUGGGCUCACGCCUGAACCAGCCAAGCCGCGUGCGGGAAGACUGCUCUAUGGGUUGUAAACCUCUUUUGUCAGGGGGCAAAGCCGGCUACGUGUAUCUGGCUUGAGAGUACCUGAAGAAAAAGCAUCGACUAACUCCGUGCCAGCAGCCGCGGUAAUACGGAGGUUGCGAGGUUUAUCGGGUUUUAUUGGGUUAAAGGGGUGCGUAGGCGGAAUGUCAAGUCAGGGGUAAAAUCGCGGGGCUAACCCCCGCCCCGCCGUUGAAACUGGCGUUCUUGAGAGGACGAGAGGUAUGCGGAAUGCGUGGUGUAGCGGUGAAAUGCAUAGAGAUCACACAGAACACCGAUUGCGAAGGCAGCAUACC